rnacentral:rRNA from 1 species
ACCGUGGUAAUUCUAGAGCUAAUACAUGCUUAAACGCCCGACUUUAUGGAAGGGUGGUAUUUAUUAGACUGAAGCCAAUAUUCCUUGUGUCUAUUGCGGUGAUUCAUAAUAACUGAUCGAAUCUCUUUUUGAGAUAAAUCAUUCAAGUUUCUGCCCUAUCAGCUUUCGAUGGUAGUGUAUUGGACUACCAUGGCAGUAACGGGUAACGAAGAAUUAGGGUUCGAUUUCGGAGAGGGAGCAUGAGAAACGGCUACCACAUCUAAGGAAGGCAGCAGGCGCGUAAAUUACCCAAUCCUGACUCAGGGAGGUAGUGACAAGAAAUAGCAAACCGGGAACCUCAUGGUUUCACGGUAUUGCAAUGAGAACAAUUUAAAACCCUUAGCGAGAAUCAAGUGGAGGACAAGUCUGGUGCCAGCACCCGCGGUAAUUCCAGCUCCACUAGCGUAUAUUAAAGUUGUUGCAGUUAAAAAGCUCGUAGUUGAACCUCUGUCUGGGGCUAGUUUUGGCUUUGGUCAGGCUAGUUCUAGGCAUCCGCCUACAAGACUUAGAGGGCAUUCAGUUGUUCACUAGGAGGAGUAGGCAUUUUACUUUGAAAAAAUUAGAGUGUUUAAGGCAGGCAAUCGCCCGCAUAUAUUAGCAUGGAAUAAUAGAAUAGGACACUUUUCCAUUUCGUUGGUUAUUGGAAUCGUGUAAUGAUUAAUAGGGACAGUUGUGGGCAUUUGUAUUUAAUUGUCAGAGGUGAAAUUCUUGGAUUUAUUAAAGACAAACUAACGCGAAAGCAUUUGCCAAGGAUGUUUUCAUUAAUCAAGAACGAAAGUUAGGGGAUCAAAGACGAUCAGAUACCGUCCUAGUCUUAACUAUAAACUAUUCCGACUCAAUGUUUGACUGGCUUAUAUAACCAGUUGAGCGUUGUAUGAGAAAUCAAAGUCUUUAGGUUCUGGGGGGAGUAUGGUUGCAAAGCUGAAACUUAAAGGAAUUGACGGAAGAGCACAACCAGGAGUGGAUUCUGCGGCUUAAUUUGACUCAACACGGGGAAACUUACCAGGUUAAAACAAUAGUGGGAUUGACAGUUUGAGAGCGCUUUCUUGAUUGGUUGGGUGGUGGUGCAUGGCCGUUCUUAGUUGGUGGAGUGAUUUGUCUGCUUAAUUGCGUUAACGAACGAGACCUUAACCUGCUUACUAGACUGGCGAUCAUCAAUCGUUAGCUC